UACGUAGGGUGCGAGCGUUAAUCGGAAUUACUGGGCGUAAAGCGUGCGCAGGCGGUUUUGUAAGCCAGAUGUGAAAGCCCCGGGCUUAACCUGGGAAUGGCAUUUGGGACUGCAAGGCUUGAGUGCGGCAGAGGAGACUGGAAUUCCUGGUGUAGCGGUGAAAUGCGCAGAUAUCAGGAAGAACACCGAUGGCGAAGGCAGCUCUCUGGGACGUUACUGACGCUGAGACGCGAAAGCGUGGGGAGCAAACAGG
rnacentral:rRNA from 1 species